rnacentral:rRNA from 1 species
CUCCGGUUGAUCCCGCCGGACCCGACUGCUAUCAGAGUGGGACUAAGCCAUGCGAGUCAACGUAGCAAUACGUGGCGAACGGCUCAGUAACACGUAGUCAACAUGCCCAGGGGACGUGGAUAACCUCGGGAAACUGAGUAUAAACCGCGAUGGGUCAUGAUUUCUGGAAUGAAUUAUGGCUGAAAUCUAUAUGGCCCCUGGAUUGGACUGCGACCGAUCAGGCUGUUGGUGAGGUAAUGGCCCACCAAACCUGUUACCGGUACGGGCUCUGAGAGGAGGAGCCCGGAGAUGGGCACUGAGACAAGGGCCCAGGCCCUAUGGGGCGCAGCAGGCGCGAAAUCUCUGCAAUAGGCGAAAGCUUGACAGGGUUACUCUGAGUGAUUUCCGCUAAGGAGAUCUUUUGGCACCUCUAAAAAUGGUGCAGAAUAAGGGGUGGGCAAGUCUGGUGUCAGCCGCCGCGGUAAUACCAGCACCCCGAGUGGUCGGGACGAUUAUUGGGCCUAAAGCAUCCGUAGCCGGUUCUACAAGUCUUCCGUUAAAUCCACCUGCUUAACAGAUGGGCUGCGGAAGAUACUAUAGAGCUAGGAGGCGGGAGAGGCAAGCGGUACUCGAUGGGUAGGGGUAAAAUCCGUUGAUCCAUUGAAGACCACCAGUGGCGAAGGCGGCUUGCCAGAACGCGCUCGACGGUGAGGGAUGAAAGCUGGGGGAGCAAACCGGAUUAGAUACCCGGGUAGUCCCAGCUGUAAACGAUGCAGACUCGGUGAUGAGUUGGCUUAUUGCUAACUCAGUGCCGCAGGGAAGCCGUUAAGUUUGCCGCCUGGGGAGUACGGUCGCAAGACUGAAACUUAAAGGAAUUGGCGGGGGAGCA